rnacentral:misc_RNA from 1 species
AAAUGGAGAAGUUUGCUAUUCCAAAUAUGGCUCCUAUCCUUUGAGAGGAAAAUAUUGUCAUGAAAUGGCUUUGCGGAUCCUUCUUGCAUCUAUUGAGAGCCAUGCAAAUCGAUAUAAGAGAUAUAUAGUUCCAGUAUUAUCUGUUCAGAUGGAUUUCUAUGUUCGCGUUUUUGUUCGUAUAUACACUUCUGCAAGUGAUGUGAAAAAUACUCCUUUGAAGCUCUCAUAUGUCUAUCAAUGCAUUGGCUGCGACUCAUUUCAUCUUCAGACAGUUGGGAGGACAGUCUCAAAGGAUAAGAGUGUCCGAUGCCUCCCUGGAUUUGGCCCUGCAGUUCCUCAAGAGUGUAGUGAUUGUGGUAAGAAAUUCAACAUGGGUGGACCCAUAUGGUCUGCCCCCAUUCAUGAUCAAGAAUGGGUAGCUGCCAUGCUUGCAAAUGUGAAAUCAAUGAAGGAACGCUAUCCUGCUUAUGAGCGGAUCUCUGCUGUAUUGACAACUAUAUCAGAGGAACUACCUGAUAUUCCUCUGUUUCUGAGUUUGCACAAUCUCUGUGCAACACUAAAAUGCACUUCUCCCUCGGCAGUAAUAUUUCGCUCUGCUGUGAUCAACGCAGGAUAUCGCAUAUCAGGGACUCAUGUGAAUCCUUUGGGGUUGAAAACAGAUGCUCCUAUGAAUGUCAUUUGGGAUAUCAUGCGUUGCUGGGUCAGAAAUCAUCCUGUGAAAGCACAACCAUCUGACCAGUCUGGAAGUGUGAUUCUUGCUAAGGAGCCUGUUCUGCAGGCUAAUUUUGCUCGGGCUGUUGCAUCCCUUAGCCAGGCACAAGCCAAGAAGGUUGCGCGUUUCCUCCCUAAUCCUGAGAGGAAUUGGGGUCCAAAACUAAGGGCAGGCCGGCAGAUCACCAGUAAGCAUGUGUCUCUUUUGGGUCCUAAAGCAUUGAAUGCAAUUAGCAACCAUGGGGAUGGCGAGGGUAGCAACAAUGAGAACGGCGAUGUCAGCAACCAUGAGAAUGGCGAUGGUAGCAACCAUGAGAAUGGUAAUGGUAGCAACCAUGAGGAUGUCGAGGAGCCUGCAGCCAAGCGUAAGAAGACCGAAGAAUCUGAUUCAUAACUUAUAUAUCUUGGCCAAGUGUCUGCAGUUUUUAUCCCAUCAUAAUCCAUCUCUUCUGCUGCAUUUUCUUGCAGAGUGAGAUCCAUCUUCUUUCUGAUAACUGUGAAAACGUCUAUCGAUAAUGGGGAGGAUUUCAUCUUGUUUAUCUCAAGUAUACUUUUUAAUUUUUAAAGGUAUUUUAGGCUAUUUAUAUUUAUUUUGUUUGUCCCUUUUUUCCUUCAUUUCAAUCUUAAUUCCAGUGCUGUAUUAAAUUUUGUUUUUCAUUUUCAUUUAUCAGAAAACUA